GGGAUGCAGUCUGGGACACGUAGUUGCAAACCUAGCGACUUUGUUGUUAGAUUCAAUGACUUUUCAGACCCCCUAACAACUUUUUUUUAGAAAGAAAGGGACUUUUAUCGACUUCUUCUGGAGUUUAGAGACUCUGACAUGAAGCAGGCUUUCCUUACUGAGGAGUUAGCAACGCUGCUAAGGGUGCAGAGCCACACAUGCGCUCAGAGCUCUGCAUGGGAGACUGAAGCUGACAGAGCUGCAGCAGUUAGCAGGUUUCACCCUCAGAGACCACCAGGGGUUCAUGUUGAGGCAUUUUGAAUUUUUUUUUUUGUGCCAUAGACACUGUCAGCACAAUCUGCAGUUACACUAACAAAAAUGCUGCAAAAAACAAAGAAUUAUGGAAAAAUUACACAUGGACUGACAUAGAGGAGGAUCUACGCAAGUUUUUUACAUCAUGUUUUACAUCAUGCAUCAUUUACAUCAUGUUUUUUUGUAGUGGCAUAAAUAAAAAGUGACAUUUGUGAGACUAUACAGUGUUUUGUAAAUAAUUUUACAAAGAACGCCUGGGCCAUUGCCUGCAUUUUGAUGUAAAUAGAGGUAAAUCACUAUGUUCUUUGUUUAAAAUUUGCAUAUGUUUUGAAGUUUACAAUUUUUUAUUUGAAGUUUAAGUUUUAAAAACAGUUCAUCACACAUAUUUGUGGUUUUCACAGUAAAAAUGUUACUUUUUUCCACUCGGAUUUUAUGUUUUGUGUGUGAAUUUGGGUCCAUUGUGUAAAUUCAGUAUGUCAACAUGAUAAAAUAACUGUAAAUUCGCACAGGUGAGGUUGUGCUGAAAAAAAUGAUACCAGGUAAGGCACGUGAUUGUCAAAUUUUGUGUCAAUAUGACAAAGCGUAUAGGCGUGAAUCUCAACAAUAUGUAUUUUCACCUUAGGGGACAAGAAAAAAUGGACUUUUUUCUCCUGCCAUGGGGGGGCGCUCUUUUGGGGAGUAAAAAUUCCUUCACAAAUGUGUUGAUGGCUGGACAUUGCAUCAUCCUAGAAAACUUGGAGGCCAGUGAGGACAAAAAUAAAAAGUUAUAAGACUUUUAAAUAUGUGGAUUUUAGGGUUAUCUUUGGCGCCCCCUAGAACCUAAACCUUGGGGUGCAGCGUCAUGAUUUUGAUAACUUUUAAUGGCCACGGGGUGUAGAUUGGCCUGAGCAAAUGUGGUGCCGGUGGAACGAAAGCCUUAGGAGGAGUUAGCCACAUUCCAAUGUGUGCGGAUCGGCAAAAAAUGCGAAAUAACCCUUUAACCGUACAUUUGACAGAUACGCGCGCAUUGACUUUUUCGUAGAUCUUAUUGAGUUACAUGUGUGUGUCAAUUUUUGUGUCAUUUUGACAAAGUGUAUAGGCGUGACACUCAACAAUGUGUAUUUUCACCUUAGGGGACAAGAAAAAAUGGACUUUUUUCUCCUGCCAUGGGGGGGCGCUCUUUUGGGGAGUAAAAAUUCCUUCACAAAUGUGUUGAUGGCUGGACAUUGCAUCAUCCUAGAAAACUUGGAGGCCAGUGAGGACAAAAAUAAAAAGUUAUAAGACUUUUAAAUAUGUGGAUUUUAGUGUUAUCUUUGGCGCCCCCUAGAACCUAAACCUUGGGGUGCAGCGUCAUGAUUUUGAUAACUUUUAAUGGCCACGGGGUGUAGAUUGGCCUGAGCAAAUGUGGUGCCGGUGGAACGAAAGCCUUUGGAGGAGUUAGCGAAAUUCCAAUGUGUGCGGAUCGGCAAAAAAUGCGAAAUAACCCUUUAACCGUAAUUUUGACAGAUACGGCCGCACUGACUUUUUUGUAGAUCUUAUUGAGAUACAUAUGUGUGUCAAUUUUUGUGUCAAUAUGACAAAGCGUACAGGUGUGACAGUCAAUAGUGUGAAUUUCCACCUUAGGGGGCGCUAUGGAGCCAUUUUGCAUUUUAUUGUUUGGGCGACUUCAGAAUAUCGAAUUUUUCACCAGGCCCGGUCGUCCUGCCAAAUUUCAUGAGUUUUCGCCAGUGGGAAGUGGGCCAUUUUCCAGUUCAAAGGGGAGGAAAAAGAAGAAAGAAAGAAAGAACUAGGACCCCGUUGGGGCACUGGCGGGCCCGAGCCGUGUCGCGUCCCCCCCCAACGUGCUGCCUCCCCGUCCCAUUUGUGUCCUCUGGCCAUCGCCCUCUCUGGUAACGCCCAUCACUGCAAAGACCCUUUUCCUUCAUCGGCGUUUGCUGUUCUUCCUGCCAGUGCGUGUUGCUUUCACUUACACUUGCCACAGCCAGCCUCGUGAGUGCCUAGCCUAUUGGAUAUCACUGUCACCUACACAGGACAGUCAUUACCUUUCUAUUAAUACUUUGUGUUUUAAUUUCACAUUAAUUUCCAUAUUGUAUAAACAACUGGAAAAAACUUGAGCCCCUGCCCCUGUAUAAUCAUGUGCAUGUCUCUGUUCUAGCUCCAAGGUGAAUCUUCACUGCUCAUGUUCUCCUCAGAAGCACUCACCUCACUCCCCUCAGGUUACUGUACACAUGCACCAACUGCCUGCUUCAGGUUUGGAUGGAGCUUCAUGGUUGUCUUUUGGAGAAAUGAGCAGUCAAGUUGUGUUUGAAAUUUGAUUUUUUUCAGGGGCAAAAGGAGCCUCUGCAUUCUUGUCAAAUAUGUAAAUAGCAUGUUUUUGCAGGUGCUAAAAACCAGACUCUGAGUGUGUGUGUGUGUGUGUGUGUGUGUGUGUGUGUGCGUGUGUGUGUGUGUCUGUGUGUGCGUUCAAGUCACAUGACAUAUUUAACCGGAUGUAGCUGCAAGACGGAGCCUCGUUGACUCUCCGUUUCAACUUAUCUCAAAAGUGAGGACCUCAACCUAUAUACCAGUUUUUAAAUUGUGUUGAUAGGCCAAAUAAAACCAGAGUUAUGAUAAAUUAUGUCCGCGAUACUUUUUUUCUGCUUAUUUUGAUCACGUUCGGCGCUCGAUCGCGCUGUAUGAGACAGGAAAACAUAGCAUGCAGACAUUAGCGACAGCUCUUACAGGCGGAAAAGGCUUGCCAAAAGAAAAAAAAAAACACACCACAACAUCUCUCCUAUUGGUGGAAAACUUCACCACAACAACCAAUCCAAAAUUAUAUGGUGACUGAUUGACAAGGGGCGGGCGCUUACGUUCUUCCUGCAACAUGAGAAGGGAGGGAGGGACUCUCAGCAGGGAUGCAGUCUGGGACACGUAGUUGCAAACCUAGCGACUUUGUUGUUAGAUUCAAUGACUUUUCAGACCCCCUAACGACUUUUUUUUAGAAAGAAAGGGACUUUUAUCGACUUCUUCUGGAGUUUAGAGACUCUGACAUGAAGCAGGCUUUCCUUACUGAGGAGUUAGCAACGCUGCUAAGGGUGCAGAGCCACACAUGCGCUCAGAGCUCUGCAUGGGAGACUGAAGCUGACAGAGCUGCAGCAGUUAGCAGGUUUCACCCUCAGAGACCACCAGGGGUUCAUGUUGAGGCAUUUUAAUUUUUUUUUUUUUUGUGCCAUAGACACUGUCAGCACAAUCUGCAGUUACACUAACAAAAAUGCUGCAAAAAACAAAGAAUUAUGGAAAAAUUACACAUGGACUGACAUACAGGAGGAUCUACACAAGUUUUUUACAUCAUGUUUUACAUCAUGCAUCAUUUACAUCAUGUUUUUUUGUAGUGGCAUAAAUAAAAAGUGACAUUUGUGAGACUAUACAGUGUUUUGUAAAUAAUUUUACAAAGAACGCCUGGGCCAUUGCCUGCAUUUUGAUGUAAAUAGAGGUAAAUCACUAUGUUCUUUGUUAAAAAUUUGCAUAUGUUUUGAAGUUUACAAUUUUUAUUUGAAGUUUAAGUUUUAAAAACAGUUCAUCACACAUAU
rnacentral:lncRNA from 1 species